rfam:Candidatus Doudnabacteria bacterium RIFCSPHIGHO2_01_FTLL_49_9 rifcsphigho2_01_scaffold_20257, whole genome shotgun sequence.
GGGCCUAUAGUUCAGUGGCAGAACAUCUCCAUGGCAUGGAGGAGGUGGCGGUUCGAUUCCGCCUAGGUCCA